rnacentral:rRNA from 1 species
UACGGAGGGUGCGAGCGUUGUCCGGAAUCACUGGGCGUAAAGGGCGCGUAGGCGGCCUGAUAAGUAGGGGGUGAAAUCCUGCGGCUUAACCGCAGGGCUGCCUUCUAAACUGUCAGGCUAGAGCACAGUAGAGGCAGGUGGAAUUCCCGGUGUAGCGGUGGAAUGCGUAGAGAUCGGGAAGAACAUCAGUGGCGAAGGCGGCCUGCUGGGCUGUUGCUGACGCUGAGGCGCGACAGCGUGGGGGAGCAACAGG